GCGUAGUUAGGGAGUAUCCGGAUGGAUAGAAGGACUAGUUACGUUUAGUUAUUUCGCGACUCGUGGGUGGUAGAUUUCACACUGUUCUCUGCAUAAGUGAAAAAGUAAAUGGUAAAUAAGUCAAUAAAAAAUGGAGUCGUCCUUGAGUCCGUAAUGAGAAUAUGGUAGCAACUAAGGUUUAUUCAUCUCGAACCUCUUAACUCGAGUCCAUUAAAAGACUUCAGUCUCUGCUGUUCUGUUCUUUAUAAAAAGUGUCCUUUAAUUCAUGCAACAAAACCACGAGAACUGAUUUAAUUAUUCAGUGGUGCUAAAGAUUUUAGUUUUUACCUUUGUGGGUAGGGAGCCUAGAGACUGUAGUAGAUUAUAGUCAGAAUUCAUGUCCUCGGUUUGGGUGGUUCGGUAUGGCAGUAUGUCAAAGGAAUAAAUGCUUAACACCUAAGUAAAAUGAAAAGGUGCCACAGAGGGACCAAUAAUGGAAACUAAACAAUGUGUACAGUUAAUCCAACUCAGAACAAUUAGCGUUUAUUAAAAAUCAUGGAGGAUUUUUAUUCAUUUUUAGGGCUUUUAAUGUUAUAGUUUGUAUCAUGGUUAAUUUAAACAUUCGUUCAGUGAUAAAGAUCUAGGCCAUUUAUCCUUCAACUGUCAGGGAGCAAGUUUGGACCAAUGAUGAGUAUCCUGGGGUGUCUGAAUCAAUGAUUUUGAUUAAACCCUAUAACUCUGAGGUCAGAAACCUAGUUAAUGCCUAUAUGGUUAAUCAGCUUACAGCAGAGAAUAACCGUAAGACUUACUCAUUUUCUAAGAAACAACAUCUUGGCAGUUAGCUCUGUGUGUAAAGACCGUAGACAGAAAUAGUGAACAACAGCAUGGCUGACUCGGUCAUUAGCCGGCGUCACUACAGCCGACCAGGAGGUGAAGACUCAGACAAGUGGAUCCUGGAGUUCGCGUUCUCCGUUUGUUCAUGGGUGUUACCUGAAGGAUUUCAAACCGUCGUCCAAUGAGGAAGAUCUUGACUGUUACUUUUGUGGAAUGAAGAUGAUGGUUGAUUUAAUCAGUCUCUGCUGAUGAAGAUCUUGGCUGUUACCUUUGUGGAAUGGAUGGAUGAUGAAUCAAAGACGGAGUGUAGAAACUUAUAAUGGAUGCUUCUGGCCAGCCUAAGCAUCUCCAUGGUCUUGAGUUGUCUGGUUGCCUAGGAGCAUAGGGAUCAGUAAUGGAUGCACUCGAGCUGAUUCCCUGUGGUUGGCUUUAUUGUUAGGAUCACAGACACAGAUAGUGGCCACACCAAGCUGAUGAAAGCAUGUUCCAUGAUUAGAGCUCUAUACGUAGGAGAUGGAGAUCGGUAAUGGAUGCACUACAGCUGAUUUCAGGGUUCUUCCAUGGUCACAAGACAUCUGCUUACUCAAUGUGUUUGGUGCAUAGAAGGAAUGCACACACCCAAGAUGGUUUAAGUAGUAUCCCUUGCCAGUGAUCUCUACAUUUGCCUGUAGGAACAUGGAAACCAAUGACUCCAGCGCGCUCAAGCAUCCUCCGCGGUCACGCGCUCCGUUGUUGCCUCUCUGUGGAAUGAGCACAGAGACCCAUAAUAGAACCCCAAGCUGAUUGCCAGGGUCAAGAUGGUCAUGUUGCUUCAUUUGGAAGGAGACCAAGAAGGACAUCCUCAGGCUGGUUGAAGAAUUCUUUCUUGGUCACAAUCUCUCUGGUUGCAUCUGUGUUUCAGGUGUUAAGAGAGACCAGUAAAGAAGACACCUGACCCAGUGUAAGCAUCCCCCAGGUUCAGUCACUGACAGCAAGCCUCUCUCUGUGGGAGCAUGGAGUCCAACAACCCACGCACGCCUGCGGAUGUAAGCAUUUUCCAUGGUCAGGAGGUCUGUGAUUUCCCGUGUGUUCUAAGCCUAGAGAUGCAUUUCGAUAUUGCUUGUUCAGGGAAAAUUAAUAAUGACCCCGAUGUGCUGUAUUCCUGCGUGACAGACAAAACGAAGGUAAAAUCCGUGCAGCUACAGAGUGUCUCUCUGUCCUGUUACCAUGUGUUCUGCCUGUGCUCCUCAGAACGGAUGAACUCCAGCAGCUGGAAGCCCUUGCAUGAUUACAAGCUGUCUGUCUGUCUGUUUGGAGCAUAGAGACCAGUUGGACUGAUUCAAGCAUUCUUCCGUGGUCGCAAGAUCUGUGGCUGUGUCUGUGUGUUGGAGAAUGGAGAUCCAUGUGACUAAUGAAUGGACGCGCUUGUCCUGAUGGAAGCAUCUUCCAGGGUCAUGAACUCUGGGCCUGCAUCGAUGCACUGGGAGCUAGACACCACCAGCAACCUGCACACCGGGGCUCCUGAACGCAUCCGCACGGGUCGCGGUUCGGGGCGCGCGUCGGCGUCGUGGGAGCGUGGCGAGCAGUGGGAGUGCUGGUCGGUGUUCUUGUCUUGGAUGGAACGUUCGGGUUGUCGUGGAGAAAGCAAGCCAGUCCUGGACCACCAGUGAUGAUGGAAAGGACCCGGCUAGCAGAUGUCAGGAUUCUUCCUUGGUCACGAGAGCUCAGGUUGCGUUCAUGCGUCAGGAACGUGGAGACCAUAAUGGUCACCGUCAGCUGACGGAAGCGAAUUACCCUAGUCGCCGGCUCCGUGGUCGAAUCUGUGGGUGAUAGCGUGGACCCCAGUGCGAAACAGACACUUGAGUUGUUUUCAGCUUCCGCCGUGAUCAAGACUGUGAUGUUCCCUUUGAGCACUGAAAGAGAUGGAGGCGAAUAAUGGUCAAAAUGGUCGUCUUGGAAAGGGCCACUUGUUUCAGGAAUGAAUACGCACGAGAUGAUUCGGUGACUUCCCCGGGCGUGAGGUCUGUGGUUGCUUCUGUAUAAUAGGAUGGAGAUGAAUAAAGACACUGGACCUGAUUUAAGGAUUUCUCCCUUGAUCCUGACCUCUGCGUUUGCAUCUGUUUUAGGAGACUGGAGACCCGUAAUAGAAGGUCAAGGUGAUUUCUGCCUUCAUUUUGGUCCAGGGCACCAUGUUCCCUCUUAGAGGAAAGAGACUAACUAGAGAUGCUCCAGCUGAUUUCACCUCUACCCUGAUCAUGGUGGUUAUGUUGCCUGCAUCUUAGGAGACUAAAGCAAGCUGAUGUAAGCAGUCCUGCCUGGUGGCGAGCUCGGUGGUCGCAUCCCUCUGUUAGACGUGCAGAGAACAGCAACGGACACACCUGAGCAGAUGUUAACAUCUUCUAUGAUCCUGAGUUCUGUGCUUGCCUCUGUAAUAGAAGGAUGGGGAUUAAUGAUGGACCGAUUAGACCCACGUGAGGAUUCUCCCCGGUCAAGGGCCCUCGGGUUGUAUUUUUGUACUGGGGCGACAGGAGACGGAUAACAGACACACUCCUGCGGACGGUAACAUUCUUCCAAGUCGUCAGCCCUCUGCUUGCAUCUGCGUUGGCGGAGCAUGGAGACCAUGUGCUCAAGCUGACUUCGUCUUCCGCUGGGAAUCAGGGUUGUCACGUGACCAAUGGACCAAGGAGAGUAAUGGUCAAAAAUUUUGUUUUUGUUUGGGUCAUUUGUGUGUGUUUGUGGUAUUAUUAAAAAGUAAUAAGUAUUGUGAAAAUGUUCACUAAGGCUGACAAAUAAAUAUGAUGUAAACCAUUGUAUUCAUUAAUUUCUUACAUAACAUUGAGUUUGAUUAAUAAAAGAAAUGGAAGCUGUGUUGGCAAUGAUUCUAUAUUAGAAGUUAAGGGCAUUCAGGCAUCUUAUUCUCUGGUUUUUGUAAAUUAUACUCAUGUUAAUCUUUUCAGUGAAUUAAUUAUUUAAUCAAAACAAGUGUAGAAAGGAGUUGAGAGCAAGGGAGGCUCUAAUGGACCAGUGAUGAUGACAGGUGAUGGCUGAUCCAUGGAUGAUGGGCAGUGCGCAUCUGGGUAUCUGAGGUCCAACGUGAUAACAACUAUUCCUUCUGUUCUGUUGGAUGCUGUACAUGGAUGUUAGGGAUAUACGAAGAUCAUGUUCUUAUUUUGAAUUUAUACGUUUGGGUGUGUUAUUCUUAGUGGAUCCGUGAUAGAACCACUAAAAAUAUGGAAAUUGAAAAUAUUUGUGUUCAUUAGAAAAUAAGUAGAGAAAGGAUGUUACCUUCUUAGCUAAGUCAUACUGGGAAGUGUCUAGUCUCUCUGAGCCGGGGUCAAGGACAAGGUUGUUCCUUUUAUUAAGUGAAAAAUAAGUGAGGAAAUGAAAUAUGGAAAGCAAGGAUCAGUGGAGAUAAGGCCUUAACUUUCUUUUUUCUCACUGACUGUGUUUUGUACUUCUCUGGACAGACACCCUGAGGAAGCGUUGUGUUAUGCUGCUGCGUGAAGCAUCUU